CAAUAGCGUAUAUUAAAGUUGUUGCAGUUAAAAAGCUCGUAGUUGGAUUUCUGGUGGGAGCGAUCGGUCUGGCGCUUAGCGCGAGUACUUGCAUCGUCUCCGGCCAUCCUUGGGGAGAGUCUGUCUGGCAUUAAGUUGUCGGGCAGAGGAUCCUCAUCGUUUACUGUGAAAAAAUUAGAGUGUUCAAAGCAGGCUUAUGCCGUUGAAUAUAUCAGCAUGGAAUAAUAAGAUAGGACUUUGGUACUAUUUUGUUGGUUUGCGCACCAAAGUAAUGAUUAAUAGGGACAGUUGGGGGUAUUCGUAUUCCGUUGUCAGAGGUGAAAUUCUUGGAUUUACGGAAGACGAACUACUGCGAAAGCAUUUACCAAGGAUGUUUUCAUUAA
rnacentral:rRNA from 1 species